rnacentral:rRNA from 1 species
UACGUAGGGUGCGAGCGUUAAUCGGAAUACUGGGCGUAAAGCGUGCGCAGGCGGUGAUGUAAGACCGAUGUGAAAUCCCGGGCUUAACCUGGGAACUGCAUUGGUGACUGCAUUGCUGGAGUAUGGCAGAGGGGGGUGGAAUUCCACGUGUAGCAGUGAAAUGCGUAGAGAUGUGGAGGAACACCGAUGGCGAAGGCAGCCCCUGGGCCAAUACUGACGCUCAUGCACGAAGCGUGGGAGCAACAG